rnacentral:rRNA from 1 species
CAGGUGCUGCAUGGCUGUCGUCAGCUCGUGUUGUGAAAUGUUGGGUUAAGUCCCGCAACGAGCGCAACCCUUAUCCUUUGUUGCCAGCGGUUCGGCCGGGAACUCAAAGGAGACUGCCAGUGAUAAACUGGAGGAAGGUGGGGAUGACGUCAAGUCAUCAUGGCCCUUACGACCAGGGCUACACACGUGCUACAAUGGCAUAUACAAAGAGAAGCGACCUCGCGAGAGCAAGCGGACCUCAUAAAGUAUGUCGUAGUCCGGAUUGGAGUCUGCAACUCGACUCCAUGAAGUCGGAAUCGCUAGUAAUCGUAGAUCAGAAUGCUACGGUGAAUACGUUCCCGGGCCUUGUACACACCGCCCGUCACACCAUGGGAGUGGGUUGCAAAAGAAGUAGGUAGCUUAACCUUCGGGAGGGCGCUUACCACUUUGUGAUUCAUGACUGGGGUGAAGUCGUAACAAGGUAACCGUAGGGGAACCUGCGGUUGGAUCACCUCCUUA